UACAGAGGGGGCAAGCGUUGUUCGGAAUUACUGGGCGUAAAGGGCGCGUAGGCGGCCUGUUAAGUCGAACGUGAAAUCCCCGGGCUCAACCCUUGAAUGCCGGCCGAUACUGCCGGGCUAGAGUCCGGAAGAGGUGAGUGGAAUUCCUGGUGUAGCGGUGAAAUGCGCAGAUAUCUGCAGGAACACCCGUGGCGAAAGCGGCGCGCUGGACCACUACUGACGCUGAGGAACGAAAGCUAGGGGAGCAAACAGG
rnacentral:rRNA from 1 species